GUUGAAGGGUUUGAGUAUGAGGAAAAAGGUGAUUUUGCAACCUCACCAAAGCAUUUCAGGUAAGAACCAUAUCCUUGAAUUGCCCUUUUGGACCAAAAUUAAGCCUUUUGUGUGAUGGUUUAUCAUAUGAUUGGGUUCUAUGUUUGAGCUUAUGGAUUGGUUCACGGUGGAUUUGAAUUGGCACGCAGAGUUGCUUGGGUGAAGCUGAUGACUGUGUGCAUUGCAGGACUAUAACAAAAUGGUGCAACUACAUCUAUUCGUGGACUUUGAAAUAGAAACGAGGUUUGCAUCUUUGAAUCGCCUCCACAGUAUUUCAAUUUCUUUCCCUUUUAUUAAUUUUGAUUGUAUUUCUCCCCUGUGAUGGGAUUGAACAUGGUAAUGGCAGGUGACUGUUUGUGCGUGAAUAAAGGCUUGCCAUUGCCCUUGCUGCUGUUGUGGGACAGAGCCAGUGUAUAUGUACAGAAGUUGCGGUAUACAAUGUUCUCUCUCCCUCUCUUUAAUUUCAGUUUUUUUUUCUUUUAAUAGAAUUUCGUCAAAUAUUUUGGUUCUGGAUAUUUUGUGUUGAAGAAAUUUAUAAUAAAGGUAUUUUAUGACGUUCUGUGUGUGUAAAUAUCUUUUGUAGAACAACACAGAAUGUUGACUGAC
rnacentral:lncRNA from 1 species